GAAAUGCGAUAAGUAGUGUGAAUUGCAGAAUUCAGUGAAUCAUCGAAUCUUUGAACGCAUAUUGCGCCCCUCGGUAUUCCGUGGGGCAUGCCUGUUCGAGCGUCAUCUACACCCUCAAGCUCUGCUUGGUGUUGGGCGUCUGUCCCGCCUCCUUCGCGCGCGGACUCGCCCCAAAUCCAUUGGCGGCGGCCCUUGCCUCCCUCUCGCGCAGCACAUUGCGCUUCUCGAGGCGCGGCGGACCGCGUCCAGCAAGCAACCGUCACACCGUCUUUGACCUCGGAUCAGGUAGGGAUACCCGCUGAACUUAAGC
rnacentral:misc_RNA from 1 species